rnacentral:rRNA from 1 species
UACGGAGGGUGCAAGCGUUGUCCGGAUUUAUUGGGUUUAAAGGGUGCGUAGGCGGUCUGUCGCGUCUGCUGUGAAAACUCAGGGCUUAACCCUGAGCUUGCAGUGGGUACGGGCAGACUAGAGUGCGGUAGGGGAGACUGGAAUUCCUGGUGUAGCGGUGAAAUGCGCAGAUAUCAGGAGGAACACCGGUGGCGAAGGCGGGUCUCUGGGCCGUAACUGACGCUGAGGAGCGAAAGCAUGGGGAGCGAACAGG